AAGGAUCAUUACCUUUCAGUACAGAAGCGUUGUGUUGGUUGAGUUGUGCCGGUUGAGUCUCGCUCACAAGUGGGGUUCCUGGUAGCAACUCCCUUCAUAAUUCUUCCUGUCUAUCAUCCUUGUCUUUUGCGUACUAUUGUUUCCUCGGCGGGCUUGCCCGCCGGCUGGACAACCUUAUAACCUAUUUAAUUUUCAAUCAGCGUCUGAAAUACUAUAAUAAUUACAACUUUCAACAACGGAUCUCUUGGUUCUG
rnacentral:misc_RNA from 1 species